CAGUAGCCGCGGUAAGACGAACCGAGCGAACGUUAUUCGGAAUCACUGGGCUUAAAGGGUGCGUAGGCGGACUGUCAAGUCUGGGGUGAAAUCCGGCAGCUCAAUUGUCGAACUGCCUCAGAUACUGAUGGUCUCGAGGAAGGUAGGGGCAUGCGGAACUGUAGGUGGAGCGGUGGAAUGCGUUGAUAUCUACAGGAACUCCGGUGGCGAAAGCGGCGUGCUGGACCUUUUCUGACGCUGAGGCACGAAAGCUAGGGGAGCAAACGGGAUUAGAUACCCCUGUAGUCCCUGUCUCUUAUAC
rnacentral:rRNA from 1 species